GAUGAACGCUGGCGGCGUGCUUAAUACAUGCAAGUCGAGCGAACGGACGAUAAGCGCGCUUUCCUGCUGUUAGCGGCGGACGGGCGAGUAACACGUGCAUCACCUACCUAUAUGACUGGGAGAACUUCGGGAAACCGGAUCUAAUACCGGAUAAUAUUCUGAACCGCUUGAUUCAAAAGUGAAAGACGGUCUUGCCGUCCCUUAUAGAUGGAUCCGCGCUGCAUUAGCUAGUUGGUAAGGUCACGGCUUACCAAGGCAACGAUGCAUAGCAGAUCUGAGAGGAUGAUCGGCCACACUGGAACUGAGACACGGUCCAGACUCCUACGGGAGGCAGCAGUAGGGAAUAUUGGACAAUGGGCGAAAGCCUGACGGAGCAACGCCGCGUGAGUGAUGAAGGUCUUCGGAUCGUAAAACUCUGUUAUUAGGGAAGAACAUAUGUAGAAGUAAAUGUGCACGUCUUGACGGUACCUAAUGAGAAAGCCACGGCUAACUUCGUG
rnacentral:rRNA from 1 species